CCUACGGGAGGCAGCAGUGAGGAAUAUUGGUCAAUGGGCGGGAGCCUGAACCAGCCAAGUCGCGUGAGGGAAGACGGUCCUAUGGAUUGUAAACCUCUUUAGGCGGGGAGCAAUUCCGGGCACGCGUGCCCGGAGCGAGAGUACCCGCAGACUAAGCAUCGGCUAACUCCGUGCCAGCAGCCGCGGUAAUACGGAGGAUGCGAGCGUUAUCUGGAUUUAUUGGGUUUAAAGGGUGCGUAGGCGGAUUUUUAAGUCAGCGGUAAAAUGUCGGGGCUCAACCCGGGCCGGCCGUGGAACCUGGGGAGCGUGAGUGGGCGAGAGGUGUGCAGAAUGUGUGGUGUAGCGGUGAAAUGCAUAGAGAUCACGCAGAACUCCGAUUGCGAAGGCAGCAUACCGGAGCCCGACUGACGCUGAGGCGCGAAAGCGUGGGGAUCGAACAGGAUUAGAUACCCCUGUAGUC
rnacentral:rRNA from 1 species